CCCAGACUCCUACGGGAGGCAGCAGUCGGGAAUAUUGCACAAUGGAGGAAACUCUGAUGCAGUGACGCCGCGUGCAGGAAGAAGGUUUUCGGAUUGUAAACUGCUUUAGAUGGGGAAGAAAAAAGACUGUACCCAUAGAAUAAGCUCCGGCUAACUACGUGCCAGCAGCCGCGGUAAUACGUAUGGGGCAAGCGUUAUCCGGAUUUACUGGGUGUAAAGGGCGUGCAGCCGGAGAGACAAGUCAGAUGUGAAAUCCACGGGCUCAACCCGUGAACUGCAUUUGAAACUGUUUCCCUUGAGUGUCGGAGAGGUAAUCGGAAUUCCUUGUGUAGCGGUGAAAUGCGUAGAUAUAAGGAAGAACACCAGUGGCGAAGGCGGAUUACUGGACGAUAACUGACGGUGAGGCGCGAAAGCGUGGGGAGCAAACAGGAUUAGAUACCCCCGUAA
rnacentral:rRNA from 1 species